rnacentral:rRNA from 1 species
GACGAACGCUGGCGGCGUGCUUAACACAUGCAAGUCGAACGGAAAGGCCCUGCUUUUGUGGGGUGCUCGAGUGGCGAACGGGUGAGUAACACGUGAGUAACCUGCCCUUGACUUUGGGAUAACUUCAGGAAACUGGGGCUAAUACCGGAUAGGAGCUCCUGCUGCAUGGUGGUGGUUGGAAAGUUUCGGCGGUGGGGGCUGGACUCGCGGCUUAUCAGCUUGUUGGUGGGGUAGUGGCUUACCAAGGCUUUGACGGGUAGCCGGCAUGAGAGGGUUAACGGCCACAUUGGGCCUGAGAUACGGCCCAGACUCGUACGGGAGGCAGCAGUGGGGAAUAUGGCACAAUGGGCGGAAGCCUGAUGCAGCAACGCCGCGUGCGGGAUGACGGCCUUCGGGUUGUAAACCGCUUUCGCCUGUGACGAAGCGUGAGUGACGGUAAUGGGUAAAGAAGCACCGGCUAACUACGUG